rnacentral:rRNA from 1 species
GACGAACGCUGGCGGCGUGCCUAAAUCAUGCAAGUCGAGCGGAAUGAUGAAGAAGCUUGCUUCUUCUGAUUUUAGCGGCGGACGGGUGAGUAACACGUGGGCAACCUACCUUGUAGAUUGGGAUAACUCCGGGAAACCGGGGCUAAUACCGAAUAAUCCAUUUCGCUUCAUGGCGAGAUGUUGAAAGACGGUUUCGGCUGUCACUACAAGAUGGGCCCGCGGCGCAUUAGCUAGUUGGUAGGGUAAUGGCCUACCAAGGCGACGAUGCGUAGCCGACCUGAGAGGGUGAUCGGCCACACUGGGACUGAGACACGGCCCAGACUCCUACGGGAGGCAGCAGUAGGGAAUCUUCCACAAUGGACGAAAGUCUGAUGGAGCAACGCCGCGUGAGUGAAGAAGGUUUUCGGAUCGUAAAACUCUGUUGUAAGGGAAGAACACGUACGAGAGUAACUGCUCGUACCUUGACGGUACCUUAUUAGAAAGCCACGGCUAACUACGUG